GACGAACGCUGGCGGCGUGCCUAAUACAUGCAAGUAGAACGCUGAAGAGAGGAGCUUACUCUUCUUGGAUGAGUUGCGAACGGGUGAGUAACGCGUAGGUAACCUGCCUUGUAGCGGGGGAUAACUAUUAGAAACGAUAGCUAAUACCGCAUAACAAUGGUUGACACAUGUCAUUUAUUUGAAAGGUGCAAUUGCUCCACUACAAGAUGGACCUGCGUUGUAUUAGCUAGUAGGUGAGGUAAUGGCUCACCUAGGCGACGAUACAUAGCCGACCUGAGAGGGUGAUCGGCCACACUGGGACUGAGACACGGCCCAGACUCCUACGGGAGGCAGCAGUAGGGAAUCUUCGGCAAUGGAGGCAACCCUGACCGAGCAACGCCGCGUGAGUGAAGAAGGUUUUCGGAUCGUAAAGCUCUGUUGGUAGUCAAGAACGGGUGUGAGAGUGGAAAGUUCACACUGUGACGGUAGCUUACCAGAAAGGGACGGCUAACUACGUG
rnacentral:rRNA from 1 species